rnacentral:tRNA from 1 species
GAGAGGUGUCCGAGUGGUUUAAGGAGCCGGUCUUGAAAACCGGUGACCCGUCAGGGCCGUGGGUUCGAAUCCCACCCUCUCC